GCGUAACGCGUAUGCCACCUACCUUUAACAGGGGGAUAACACUGAGAAAUUGGUACUAAUACCCCAUAAUAUCAUAGAAGGCAUCUUUUAUGGUUGAAAAUUCCGAUGGUUCUAGAGAUGGGCAUGCGUUGUAUUAGCUAGUUGGUGGGGUAACGGCUCACCACAGGCGACGAUACAUAGGGGGGACUGAGAGGUUAACCCCCCACACUGGUACUGAGACACGGACCAGACUCCUACGGGAGGCAGCAGUGAGGAAUAUUGGUCAAUGGACGCAAGUCUGAACCAGCCAUGCCGCGUGCAGGAUGACGGCUCUAUGAGUUGUAAACUGCUUUAUGUACGAGGGUAAACGCAGAUACGUGUAUCUGUCUGAAAGUAUCGUACGAAUAAGGAUCGGCUAACUCCGUGCCAGCAGCCGCGGUAAUACGGAGGAUUCAAGCGUUAUCCGGAUUUAUUGGGUUUAAAGGGUGCGUAGGCGGUUUGAUAAGUUAGAGGUGAAAUUUCGGGGCUCAACCCUGAAACGUGCCUCUAAUACUGUUGAGCUAGAGAGUAGUUGCGGUAGGCGGAAUGUAUGGUGUAGCGGUGAAAUGCUUAGAGAUCAUACAGAACACCGAUUGCGAAGGCA
rnacentral:rRNA from 1 species